GACGAACGCUGGCGGCGCGCCUAACACAUGCAAGUCGAACGAGCCGAGGAGAGCUUGCUCUCCAGAGCUAGUGGCGGACGGGUGAGUAACACGUGAGCAACCUGCCUCUCAGAGGGGGAUAACGUUUGGAAACGAACGCUAAUACCGCAUAACGUAUUCGGGCCACAUGACCUGAAUACCAAAGGAGCAAUCCGCUGAGAGAUGGGCUCGCGUCCGAUUAGCUAGUUGGUGAGGUAACGGCCCACCAAGGCGACGAUCGGUAGCCGGACUGAGAGAUUGAUCGGCCACAUUGGGACUGAGACACGGCCCAG
rnacentral:rRNA from 1 species